rnacentral:rRNA from 1 species
GGUGAAAAGUACCCCGAGAGGGGAGUGAAAUAGACCUGAAACCGUGUGCCUACAAGCAGUCAGAGCCCGUCUUAGGGCGGGUAAUGGCGUGCCUAUUGAAGAAUGAGCCGGUGAGUUGAUCUGUGUGGCUGGUUAAGCAAUUUUCAUUGCGGAGCCAAAGCGAAAGCAAGUCUUAAUAGGGCGAUUUAGUUGCACGGAUCAGACCCGAAGCCGGGUGAGCUACCCAUGGCCAGAGUGAAGCUUCGAUAAGCUCGAAGUGGAGGCUCGAACCUGUCAGCGUUGCAGAGCUGUAGGAGGAGCUGUGGGUAGGGGUGAAAUGCCAACCGAACCCGGUGAUAGCUGGUUCUCCCCGAAAUGCAUUGAGGUGCAGCCUCAGGUAUUAGUUAAUGGAGGUAGGGCACUGGAUGGACUCGGUGGGAGAGUAUCCCGUCAACUCCAACCAAACCACGAAUGCCAUUAACCUUAAGCCUGGGAGUGAGACUGUGGGGGAUAAGCUUCAUAGUCGAGAGGGAAACAGCCCAGACCAUCAGCUAAGGUCCCCAAGAGCAGGCUAAGUGGGCAAGGAGGUAAGAUUGCCCAGACAGCCAGGAGGUUGGCUCAGAAGCAGCCAUCCUUUAAAGAGUGCGUAACAGCUCACUGGUUGAGUGGUCUUGCGCCGACAAUUUAACGGGGCUAAAGUCUGCCACCGAAGCUAUGGCUCUCUGAUUUUAUCAGGGAGGGUAGGGGAGCGUUCUCUUAGCCAUGAAGCUGCUAUGUGAAUAGUGGUGGAGUUAAGAGAAGUGAGAAUG